rnacentral:rRNA from 1 species
UACGGGAGGCAGCAGUGGGGAAUCUUCCGCAAUGGACGAAAGUCUGACGGAGCAACGCCGCGUGAACGAAGAAGGUCUUCGGAUUGUAAAGUUCUCGGGACGAAAGGGUUUGUGGUGAAUAAUCAUAGACAUUGACGGUACCGAAAAAGCAAGCCACGGCUAACUACGUGCCAGCAGCCGCGGUAAU